rnacentral:lncRNA from 1 species
GUACCCCGGCCACCUUCUGCUGUAGGAUCUCCAAGUCGGCCGGCAGAGGGAGGUAGGAGGGCCAUGACUGAGACAGGGAAAGGUCCCCAGACUGGAGCCCGCUUUCCACCAUCUUCUUGCCCUGUAAGGUAUUCACCUUCAUAAGAAUGGACCCUGCCUGAAAGAGGGCUUCCAUUAUCUCCUUCUGCAGAGAGGAAGCCAAGAAACUGAGUCAGAGAUUUGGGAGCUAGAAACACUAUCACUUGAAGUCGUUGGACCCAUCUCAUUGUGACAUCACGACCCUUCAGCCAAUCAGAAAGAAAACCCCCAGUUCACUAUUUUGCAUAUUGUUGGUAACCUACAGAUUUACUGCGCUUCCCAAGUCUCCUGAAAUGAGGCUUUUCAUUAAUCGGUCACCCAGUCAGAACUGGCGUUCAAGCGUUCCUUUAACCCCGAGGGCAAAUCUGAGGGAGUGGAGAAAACUGGCUAAGUCAAGGCAAGCCAGGUCAGGUUCACAGGCUGCCAAGACCGAGCAGUCUCCUACCCCAUAAGGAGCACAGCUGAUUUCACGGCCUGGUGUCUGGGCUUCCUCGGGCUCACCAAUAGGACAAAGGCAUUCUUAGAAAUGAUGGUGCAAGAUGCUAGAGGAGUAAUCCCAUCCCAUAUCCAUAUUCCCGCAAUGGCCAGAUGAUGCCAGAAUGCAUAGGUGAUCGACUUACUGUGAUAAAUGUGUGUGCUCUUAAAGGGUGGUUCACAGAAAUGCCCGAGGGAUAAAAGUGAGCCGUUCAUAUUCAUUCAGUUAAAACUUCCCGGGUGCUUGCCGGAUUCUGGAGCUAGGGAAUGAGUGUAAGUAAUGUUUCCCAACGUUCCUGGAUGGUGGCAGAUAGGAGUCUGUGGAUACGGGUAAAUCGUGUGGUUUUGCCUGGUUACUCUAACAGAGGCAAAUGUUCCUAGCCACAUGUGGCUCAGUCCAAAACUCUGCCUUUGUAUAUUGCAGUCUCUUGCCCAGACCUCCCACUGGGACUCCAAACAUAAACGCCCCCCCCAACAACCGACCUUGAAGCCAAUCCAUCUAGAGCUAGAUAAAUUACCUCUUCAAACUGGUUCCUGCUCUCCUAUCCUACCAAUGACCCUUCCUGGGACAGCAGCCACAGCAGCAUCUAGUGCCAAGUUUUAAAUGUCUGUCUCCUUCCCACCUCAUGUUGAAACUGACAUCCUAUCAGCGUUGAGAAGUGAGGGGCUUUUGAAGGCAGAGCAUAUCAGAUGGAUGGUGUCAUCUCUAGAAUGGGGUUCAUUACCGUAAUCAUCUCUGCUUGACCCCUUUUCUGUUUCUCUUGCCACCUUUGCCUUUCUUCCACAUGGGAAGGCAUAGCAUGAGAGUCCUCACCAGACACCAGCUCCCUGAUUUUAGACUUGCCAGCUUCUGGGAUUACAGAAUUACAGGGAAACAAAUGUUUUUGUUGUUUUGUAGAUCUCUCAGCCUCUGAUAUUUUAUUUUGUCACUGUGGAACAGCACAGAGUAAGCUCCCGGGGGUUAAACUAGACUCUGCCACUUCCAAGUGACCUCGAAGGCUGUUGUUAGGUCUCUUAUCUCUGAGCAGCCUAUCACCCACCUUCCCGCACUGGAGUCCAGGCUUCACCACUUAGAAGCAAGGUCUCACUGGUAGAUCACCUUUCCCCCUAGAGACCCUGUUUUCUUCUCUGCAUUUCUGAGAGCUGUAGUACACAGGUCCCUGGGAGAGAAAAUCUCUCUGAUGGGCAGCUGCUGCCGAUUUCCAUCGUGUAAACACUCCCAGCAAGGUUAGCUUCAAGCUCCCAACUUGCUCUCUCCCAGAAGUGAAGAACCAUCCUGAGCCUGGAUAAGUCAACUCUAGCACAACAGGGCCCAUGAUAAGGGCUGCUGCCUUCUCUGAGACAUUGACUAGCUAGUGGCCUCAAGUAGUCAUCAGAAGGGGGCAUAUUGCAGGGACAGUUGUAGCUAAAUGGAGGUGAAAUUCUGAAUUGCAAGAAACUCCAUUUACUGAGAAGGAAUGUUGAAUGGAAAAAGUGGUUACUUUUCUAGGAGCCAGGAAAGCUGGAGUCGGGAACUGCUGUGUGGCCCUACAUCAGUUGUCUUCCCUUGCUGAGCCGCCCCCCCCAACUGUGACAUGAGAGAUGGGCCCACGAGGCCUUCCAUACCCCUUCCCCCCAAUUCUCUUCCUUCUGUCUCUUAUAACUGUUACCUGGGUCUACCAUCUGCUUAGGCACGGUAAACUCUGGCAAACAGAGAUUUUUGAGUCCCUUAACCUGUUUACCCUCAAGUGUCCUGCCUGCUGCCCCACAAACAGUGGUACUCAGAAGAAAUGGAAUUUCGGUUCAUAGGUGGCUCUCAAAUGCCAGGCACCCCUAGCUUUUCUGCUGACACAUUGACACCUACUGGCCUUCAGAGAAACCGCAGCCUGGGAAUUCCACCUAAGAGUGGGUGGGGAUGGGGAGCAGAAGGGAGCAGCUUGGGGUCUGUGGGGUAUUUAACUAGGGCCUUGUGCCUGUUGGGUUCUCCAUCAAUAAAUAUUUCCCAGAUUGGUAGAAGAGAGAACG